GACGAACGCUGGCGGCGUGCUUAACACAUGCAAGUUGAACGGUCCGGCAUGGAAGCUUGCUGAAGUGUCGGGUAGUAGCGGACGGGUGAGUAAUGCAUGAGAAGCUGCCAUUGGGAGGGGGACAACAGUUGGAAACGGCUGCUAAUACCCCAUAUGCCGGAAGGUGAAACGGAGUGAUCCGCCCGAUGAGGUGCUCAUGUCCUAUCAGCUAGUUGGUGAGGUAACGGCUCACCAAGGCGACGACGGGUAGCCGGCCUGAGAGGGUGACCGGCCACACUGGAACUGAGAUACGGUCCAGACUCCUACGGGAGGCAGCAGUGGGGAAUAUUGGGCAAUGGGGGCAACCCUGACCCAGCGACGCCGCGUGAGGGAAGACGGCCUUCGGGUUGUAAACCUCUUUUGUACGGGAAGAAGGAUGUGACGGUACCGUGCGAAUAAGUCCCGGCUAACUACGUGCCAGCAGCCGCGGUAAAACGAGCGUG
rnacentral:rRNA from 1 species